rnacentral:rRNA from 1 species
ACGGGAGGCAGCAGUGGGGAAUAUUGGGCAAUGGGGGCAACCCUGACCCAGCAACGCCGCGUGAAGGAAGAAGGUCUUCGGAUUGUAAACUUCUUUUAUGAGGGACGAAGGACGUGACGGUACCUCAUGAAUAAGCUACGGCUAACUACGUGCCAGCAGCCGCGGUAAUACGUAGGUAGCGAGCGUUAUCCGGAUUUACUGGAUGUAAAGGGCGCGUAGGCGGGGAAGCAAGUCAGGUGUGAAAUCUAUGGGCUUAACCCAUAAACUGCACUUGAAACUGUUUUUCUUGAGUGCUGGAGAGGUAGACGGAAUUCCUAGUGUAGCGGUGAAAUGCGUAGAUAUUAGGAAGAACACCAGUGGCGAAGGCGGUCUACUGGACAGUAACUGACGCUGAGGCGCGAAAGCGUGGGGAGCAAACAGGAUUAGAUACCCUGGUA